UCGUAGAAGCUGAAAGAGCGGAGACAGAAAGAAGGGAGAGCGACGGGGAGGGAGAAGAAGAGGAGGUGUCGAGAGAGAGAUGGAGGAACGCAGGGAGGCAAGGAGGCGGAGAGAGGGUUGGGAGCCAAUUUAUAACUAUCGCCCUGACGGGAGAGACAGUCGGCCCAUGGCUGCCGGAAGGGGCGACGGUUUCCACGUCUCUUGCUGAGCCUGCAGAACGGAACUAAAUGCCAAAUCUGAUCAGCUCUGCGCACAAAGAAGUGUGGCCUGGCGCCACUGUUUCUAUGUUUCUUCCCCGCUCUUCUCAUUAGAUCAGCUCUAUCACCUGUCCACACAGCCUCAUGCUCAACACCGGCUGGACGGGAGAGCUUUCUGACUGUGUCUGGUGCCUCAGCCGAGCGCGUCGAUAGCGGCUUCCGGGGGCCACUCGCGAAAAGCCAAGAUGAAGAAACAAAGUGUGGUCGGAUGCCGCAUGAGUAAUCCAUCUCACGCAGAGACACUUGUCGAUGCCUCCGGGACCUGUGGGGUCGCUUUCAGGGAAGCGCACCGUGCAAUCAAAUGAGAGUGGACUAAAUUGAAUGAGGGCCAGCUCUUUCAGGAGGUGUGGAGAUUUCCUGGGAAUCGCUGCAGAACACACGUUGAGGUGUGCAUUCGAAUCCGUCAGACGGCAAUCACAAUGGAACGUGAUGCACACCAGAUGGGCAUCUGUUGCAGACAGGAGGCCUGUUAGCAUGGAGUCAUCCAGUUCAUUUGUAUUAAAGGCAUUAAUAAAAAACACAAAUGACUAGAACAUGGACUUCGUAUAGCUUUAUUUCUUCAGAGUGGAUGUGCUCUGGAUAAUAUUUCUAUAUGACAGUCAAGAGGGGCACCAGCUGACCUCAAUACAUAUCAUUAUGGUACCACAGUUUUCUGUCAACAGAGCCCGUGCGUGUGUGCGUGUGCGUGUGCUCGAGCGAGUCACACAACAAAUGGUCACUGUGGCAUCGUGCUGCAGACUCACUGAGUUGUCAUCACGAGCGCGUUGACAGACUUCAUGACUGAACAGAUCAACAAAGCAAUGCCAUCUGCAGAAACUAAACUUCACUAAGGUCGCUUUGACCGGGCUGAAGCUAUUGCAGUCUACAACUGUCCCAUACUCAGA